rnacentral:rRNA from 1 species
AACGAACGCUGGCGGCAGGCUUAACACAUGCAAGUCGAACGGGUGCAGCAAUGCAUCAGUGGCAGACGGGUGAGUAACACGUGGGAACCUUCCUAGGGGUACGGAACAACUCAGGGAAACUUGAGCUAAUACCGUAUACGUCCGUGAGGAGAAAGAUUUAUCGCCCUUAGACGGGCCCGCGUCGGAUUAGCUAGUUGGUGGGGUAACGGCCUACCAAGGCGACGAUCCGUAGCUGAUCUUAGAGGAUGAUCAGCCACACUGGGACUGAGACACGGCCCAGACUCCUACGGGAGGCAGCAGUGGGGAAUCUUGGACAAUGGGCGCAAGCCUGAUCCAGCCAUGCCGCGUGAGUGAAGAAGGUCUUCGGAUUGUAAAGCUCUUUUGCCAGGGACGAUAAUGACGGUACCUGGAGAAUAAGCCCCGGCAAACUUCGUGCCAGCAGCCGCGGUAAU